AUUGAACGCUGGCGGAAUGCUUUANACAUGCAAGUCGAACGGUAGAGGGGGCAACCCCUCGAGAGUGGCGAACGGGUGAGUAAUAUAUCGGAACGUGCCCAGUCGUGGGGGAUAACGUAGCGAAAGUUACGCUAAAUACCGCAUACGAUCUACGGAUGAAAGCGGGGGAUCGCAAGACCUCGCGCGAUUGGAGCGGCCGAUAUCAGAUUAGCUAGUUGGUGAGGUAAUGGCUCACCAAGGCGACGAUAGGUAGCCGGCCUGAGAGGGUGAACGGCCACAAGGGGACUGAGACACGGCCCUUACUCCUACGGGAGGCAGCAGUGGGGAAUAUUGGACAAUGGACCAAAAGUCUGAUCCAGCAAUUCUGUGUGCUUGAUGAAGGCCUUCGGGUUGUAAAGAGCUUUAAGUAGGGAAGAAGAAAGUGACGGUACCUACAGAAUAAGCGACGGCUAAAUACGUG
rnacentral:rRNA from 1 species